rnacentral:rRNA from 1 species
AGAGUUUGAUCCUGGCUCAGGACGAACGCUGGCGGCGUGCUUAACACAUGCAAGUCGAGCGGAAAGGCCCUUCGGGGUACUCGAGCGGCGAACGGGUGAGUAACACGUGAGCAACCUGCCCCUGGCUCUGGGAUAGCUCCGGGAAACCGGGAUUAAUACCGGAUAUGCCUUCCGUUGCAUGACGGUUGGUGGAAAGUUUU